rnacentral:rRNA from 1 species
UUGGAGGGCAAGUCUGGUGCCAGCAGCCGCGGUAAUUCCAGCUCCAAUAGCGUAUAUUAAAGUUGUUGCAGUUAAAAAGCUCGUAGUUGAACUUCGGGAUCAAUGGAUUGGUCAUGCCGUUGGUAUGUACUGGUCAUAUUGGUUCUCACCUUCUAAGGAACCUUAAUGUCAUUCAUUUGAUGUUUUGGGGAAUUAGGACUGUUACCUUGAAAAAAUUAGAGUGUUUAAAGCAGGCUAACGCUUGAAUACAUUAGCAUGGAAUAAUGAAAUAGGACAUCGCAUUCUAUUUUGUCGGUUUCUAGGAUCGAUGUAAUGAUUAAUAGGGAUAGUUGGGGGCAUUAGUAUUCAAUUGUCAGAGGUAAAAUUCUUGGAUUUAUUAAAGACUAACUACUGCGAAAGCAUUUGCCAAGGAUGUUUUCAUUAAUCAAGAACGAAAGUUAGGGGAUCGAUGACGAUCAGAUACCGUCGUAGUCUUAACCAUAAACUAUGCCGACUAGGGAUCGGAUGAUGUUGAUUUUUUAAUGACUCAUUCGGCGCCUUACGGGAAAC